UUUUUUGGAGAAAUGUACAUUUAAGUUUAUAUAGUUUGGCUCGGUGUCCCAUCCAUAUUUCAUCCUGCAGCUCCCAUAAUUCCACAUGCUGUGGGAGGGACCCAGUGGGAGAUGAUUGAAUCAUGGGGGCAGGUCUUUCCCAUGCUGUUCUCCAUGACAGUGAAUGGGUAUCAUGAGAUCCAUUUUAAAAACAGGUGUUUCUCUACACAUGCUCUCUUCUUGACAGCUGUUGUCCACAUAAGAUGUGACUUGCUCCUCCUUGCCUUCCACCUUGAUUGUGAGGCCUCCCCAGCCAUGUAGAACUGACAACUUUUCCAGACCUCCCUGGCUGGGUCGAUUCUCCUACAGCACACAUUUAUAGUAUCAGAAUGCAUCGCAUACACACAACAGAUUGCAUUAGCAUAUAUUUAUAAUAUAAAAAGUUAUAUUCGAGGAGGGGACUCAAGAUGGCGCUGUGAGAACAACCCAGGAUUGGAGCCCGCAUUGAAUUCGCAAACGGUGAGUCAGUGCUGCAUUUCCAGACUGAUCUUUGUUGCCCACAGAACAGGGAAACUCCCAAGUAUAAAAAGACACGGGACGCCAGGCAGUAGGUCUGCCUGGCAAAGCCGGCAGCCGGGGCUGCGGCGGCCGGCCCUACCCAGCAAUCCCCACAGGGCGCGCUUGUCCGGGUGCCUUGUUGAACUGGCAACCUGAGACUUGAGAGGGCUGGACUUGAGACUGAACGAGACUUGCACAAUAGCCCAGCCCAGGGGAUUAUAGGGACAGAUCGUUUGGGAUACCCAGUGGGACGAACAAAACCGCGAUUCCAAACUAUCCCGGGCAGACGGUCCGAGAAGCUCUGUGGGGGAGGGGCGUCCACCACGACGGAGGCAACCCGCCCCAACUGAGAUACACGCCCACUGCUGAGGCAGCCAGCCGUUGCCGAGGCAACCCGCCCCAACUGAGAUACACGCCCACUGCUGACGCAGCCAGCCGUUGCCGAGGCAACCCGUCCCUACUGAGAUACACGCCCACUGCUGACGCAGCCUGCCAUUGCUGAAGCAACACGCUACAACGAAGAGACUCCGCCACAGGGUGUGGCGGAGACCACAGCAGAGCCGGCAGGAACAGCGCCAAUCACACAACAGCAGGGCGGAGCCUCGGCAGCCAAACAGUGGCUAGUCUGCCUUUGAGCUGGGCAGGACACCUGAUCGGACAUCCAAAAAUAAAGCCCAAACCCCUCAACACAGAGCAUUUGAGAAAAAAAAAAGGGUUGUUUAAUGAGCUGUGUUGCAGCAGAAUCAAACAUAGCAGCCUAACAGCCCUGAAUGAACAACAGAGUGCACAGCUCAGCAAUUAAACCCCUAUAAAGUACAAACUGUCUCCUCAAGCAGCUCCCUGACCCUUUUUUAACCAAAAGACUGUCAUUAGGCAGGCAUCAUCCUGGGACAAAGAGAGCAGAAAAAGAAACUGGUAGCAUCCCUCGCUGUGCCACGGCUACUAGAGGUGCACCCCAGACAAGCAGGAUCUGGAGCGGACCUCAACAGUCGUACAGCGAAGGGGCUAGACUGGUAGAAGGAAAACCAAGCAACAGAAAUACUUCAUCAUCAACAUUCUGGGUGUCCACUCAGAGACCCAAACGAAAAGUCAGCAACUACGCAGACGAC
rnacentral:lncRNA from 1 species